UGUACCAUUAUUACUAAACAACCCACUAUUCUACCAAACAAACCUAUCUACUUAACUAAAACUAAACUACAAACAUAUUGAAUGAAUACUAGUUUAAAUUACAUUCAAGCUACUUAAAUUAGAUAAUGUCUCACUACUUUAUUCUGUCUUACCUAUCGCACCUCCACUGAGGCUCCAUCCCAGGGAGUACCCCCUACAGUACCCAUAUUUUUUCCUUCCGGUCUCCUCCCCCCGAGGCCCCACAGGCGCCUAUAAAGAUUCCCACGGCCCUGACUACUAUUGCCAACAAGUCCAUUUCAAUAUAAUUUUAAAAGGGCCACCAUGUCCUAUAAAACUUUUCCAUUUUGUGGUGCACCAUAUUUGUGAGGUAAUCGUGAGGGAGAUACUCCAUCAGCAGCUUACGCCACCCCAUUAGACCUGGUGGUUUUUCUGAUGGCCAAUUUAGUAAAAUGUUCUUCCUCACACAAUGGGCAAGGAUAUUACACAGUUUUUUCCCAUGUUCCCCCAGAGAGGGCAAGUUUGGCAGCCCCAAAAGAAGAAUUACUGGAUCCAUGUUAAUAUCAAUCCCCAGAAUGUCUUUUAACUCCCUUACAAUAGUACACCAAUAUCUUUGGAUCUUGCAACGUGACCAAUAGCAAUGUGUGAGAGUACCUGUAUUAAUUUUACAUUUGGGACAUUCUGGUGACACUCCUCUCUUAAACUUAGCUAACCUUCCUGGUACCAUAUGAGUCCUGUGUAAGAUCUUCAAUUGCAUAGCCUGUGUUCUGUUACAUACUUAAAUUUUACUUGCGUUACCCCAGAUAUCUUCCUAUAUGUCCGGUGAAAUGUCCUGUCCUAACUCUUGGUUCCACGUCUUACAGAGUCCUUCCAUGUCCCCACAGCACGGCAUGUCCCCAGAGUCCUUCCAUGUCCCCACAUCUGAUUUAUAACAUUGCGCUAGGAGUGUGGUCUUCCUCUGUAUAUAGUCCCUUACCUGGAAGUAUCGGAAAAGGUCCUUAUUGGAUAGUCCAUAUUUCUGACAUCAGGACCUCUCCCUCGAACAAAUUUCCCAAACAUAGAAGCCUGCUCCUUAAUCACAUUGGGGAAGUCCAGAUUUUCAAAACAUUUCCCAUUGUACUAUGUUCACUCCCCUCUGUCCGAUAUAGCUCUUCAAAGUAUUCCCUAAACCUUGCAUUGAUCUUUUUGGAAUCACGGGUAAUCGUACCAGUCUUCUCCCUAACAGCAGUAAUAGAUUGAGAGGCUUAUCUUCGAAUUAAAACAGUCUUUGUUUGGCAAAGGAGAUCUCUUUUUUUUUAGCCACUUGUGUGUGUAUGUUGAGUUGAGGGCAGCCCAGAGAGCUGUGACCUUCUGAAGUUUAACCAAUGACAGUUUAGUAUGUUUUCUCAGCUACCUUCAGUCAGGCCUCUAGCAACGCCUGCUGCUCCUCCCUCUUCCUUUUUCUAGUCGCCAAAAAUGAAAUAAUCAGACCUCGCAAGUAUGCCUUACUGGUCUCCCAAGGUAUUGCCAGAUUACUAGCCACACCUGAAUUAAUAUCCCAAAAGGUCCUGAAUUCCCUUGUAAUAUAUUCAGUAAAUUUACUAUCCCCAAACAAAAAUGAAUCCAUGUGCCAGUGACGUGCAUUUGCUCUACUGCCCAUGGCUUUAAUAUCCAAGUAUAUUGACGUAUGAUCUGAAACAGCUCAUAUUCCCUAUUUUACAUGCCAAUAUUCCAUCCAGAACAUCAGACGGCAUAAAAAUCAUAUCAAUUCGCAUAUGACAUUUGCGUAAGUUGGAAUAGAAUGUGAAAUCUCUUCCGUUAGGGUUGAGGGUACCUCAACACAUCCACUGAUCCCAACUAAUCACACAUGUCCACCAACCGUAUAGACUGUGUGAGCGUACCUGACAGGCCUUUCGACACCCUGUCAAUCUCUGGAUCUAUAAGGCGAUUAAAAUCUCUCCAAUAAUCCUACGAUGAACCCCAAGAUUCAUUAAUUCAGCCAUUGCAUCAAUUAGAAAUUUAAGAAGGUGUGCCAAUAUACAUUCAGAACACCAUAUUCUUCUCCAUGUAUCAGGGCUUUCAAAAUAAUAAACCUUCCAUGAUCAUCCUUAAUCUGCUCCAUUACUUAAAAAAGGAGGUUCCUUUUUAUCAAUAUAGCUACCCUUCUACUCUUAGAACUGAAGGAUGAAAAAAACACCUUGUCAUAACCCCCCUGCUGUAGUUUCAAAUGUUCCUUGUCAGUUAGGUGAGUCUCUUGCAGCAGGGCAAUAUCCACCCUUUCCUUCCUGACGCUCGACAAGACCCUUUUUCUUUUAACAGGAGAAUGACUCCCUUUAUAUUCCAGGUGCACCACCUGAACAAAUCACUAGCCAUGGUCAUCUAGGACAGCCCGUGGUUUCCCAGGAGGAAGGAACUUAUCUGAGGUGGGACGAAUUACAAAGAUAUUAACUCUAUGAAAUCUAAGAACUAUUCUUAUAGAAACAACUACAUCUAAAAAAAAACAUCUAACUGAAACAAAUACCCAAAUAAUCCCCCAUUCACUCGGGAUCUUCUCCCCUACCUGUAGGGGGCACCCUUCCCAAUCCCUAUUACCAUCUUAACUCCCUCUAGCUGAGGAUGUGCCCUAGCCCCAGGCAAUUCACAAAUAAUAAAGACUUGUUAUUUACAGUCUGAAACAGUGGAUAUCCAUUCGCGACCCCCAACACCUCCCCACCCCUCACACGUCUUAGUCACAAAUAUAGUUACCCCAAAUGCAAGAUCAAACAGACAGCAUUAAAAAAAUCCUAGAUGUUACCCAGCCAACCGAUAUAUAAAAUAGUCCCAGUUUAACAAAUUUACAACAAAAUCAUACAUGUACAACCAAUAAUCACAAAAAAAGGGAAGAGGGAAAGGGGGGUGGGGAAGGGAAAUAGAAAGGGGGGUAAUUCCGAAAAAAUACCCCAAACCAAUGUUAGCAAUAAUGCCUCCUCCCUUCCUGUCCCAACUCAGGUCCUUCAUUUCAGAGAUUUCACAAAGUCCUUCGCCUUUUCAGCAGAGUCAAAGUUAUAUACCGUCCACGCAUAGGAGCUGCACUAGGACCACACGUGGGCACUGUUCCAGCCCAGACCUGCGUGUUGUGAUCUGGUGGGCCUGCUCCACACCUACCAGGCCUGACUUCAACUCUAACUGCAGAAACUUCGGGAGCCAUCCUCGCAGGAUGCCAAUGAGAUCUUCGCCUUCUUCAUGUUCUGGGAGGACCACGAUCCAUAAGGAGGAAUUAAGACGAAGGACCAUAAGUACAAGGAAGUGACUAAUAAAUCCAAUGAGAAAAUAAAGAAAAUUUCUUCAGUUAAGAAAAUGGUUACAACGAAGAAUUCACUACCACAUUCUGGUGUGCUGCAGUGUGUUGCAUUCCUCGAAGCAUGGCACUCAUUCACAAAC